CUCGGCUGGAAGCGACGAGAUCUCGUCCGGAUCUGCGCGACUGUGACUCCUCAAAACCUGCAAAAUUCCCCCUGUGCCUCCUCAAAACCUGCGAAAUUCACCCUGUGACUCCUCAAAACCUGCACCAUUUAACACGAUUUCCUGGUGAAACCUUGAGGGCCGGUCAAGCAGAGCCAACGGGCCACACAUGGUCCCCGAGCCUUAUGAUGACAGCGUCCUGGCUGCGCCCGCCUGAAGGUGACAUCCAGGCCGGCUGACUGCGUCUUCCCGGUUACCGCGGCAACGGCGGAUGCUCGGCUCCCCGCGGUGACAGCUCAGAGAAGCCGUGCUGGGUAA